AAUUAUUUAUUUGAUGGUUUCUUACUACAUGGAUAACCGUAGUAAUUCUAGAGCUAAUACAUGCGUAAAGUCCCGACUCUCGCGGGGAGGGAUGUAUUUAUUAGAUUAAAAACCAAUGCGGCCUUUGGUCGGACUUGUGUUGAUUCAUAGUAACUUUUCGGAUCGCAGGGCUUCACGCCGGCGACAGUUCAUUCAAAUUUCUGCCCUAUCAGCUUUCGACGGUAGUGUAGUGGACUACCGUGGCAUUUACGGGUGACGGAGAAUUAGGGUUCGGUUCCGGAGAGGGAGCCUGAGAAACGGCUACCACA
rnacentral:rRNA from 1 species